rnacentral:rRNA from 1 species
AUGGCAAACUUUCUUGAUGCUGUAUUCACACGAGAGGAGGUGAAGGCAGCUCUAGACCACAUCGGCGAUCUUAAAGCUCCGGGGCCUGACGGCAUGCCUUCUAUUGUGUUCAAGCGUCAUUGGCAUUUCAUGGGGGAUUAUGUGGUUGACGAGGUCUUGGCCGUGCUUAAUGGAGGGGACAUGCCGGCAGGGUGGAAUGACACAUUGGUAGUUCUUAUUCCCAAGGUCAGGAACCCGAACAGAAUCAAGGACCUAAGACCAAUCAGCCUCUGUAAUGUUUUGUACAAGUUGGUGUCCAAGGUUCUUGCAAAUAGACUAAAAGUGAUCUUGCCGGAAGUUAUCUCUGAAAAUCAAAGUGCAUUCUUUCCUGGACGGCUAAUCACGGAUAAUGUGCUCAUUGCCUUUGAGGUCUCGCACUAUCUCAGGAACAAGAAGCAUGGCCGAGAAGGAGUUGCAGCAGUGAAAGCGGAUAUGAGUAAGGCCUAUGACCGAGUAGAGUGGACAUUCCUUGAAGCCAUGCUAAGAAAACUGGGAUUUAGGAGAAGAUGGGUGACCCUGAUAAUGAAAUGUGUAACCACUGUGAGGUACCAGGUUAAAGUUAAUGGCGCCCUAACGCAGCAGUUCAGUCCAUCUCGAGGAUUAAGACAAGGGGAUCCGCUUUCCCCUUACCUGUUCGUGAUCUGUGCUGAAGGGUUGUCAGCGUUGUUACACGAGGCCGAGGAGACGGGGAAGGUUAGUGGUGUCCAGAUUUGCCGAGCUGCACCAACUGUUUCACAUCUGUUCUUUGCAGAUGAUUCCAUGAUUUUGCUAAAGGCAACACAACAGGAAGCCACGACCCUUCGAGAUAUCCUUGAUCUUUAUGAAAAUUGA